CGAAGAACCUUACCUACUCUUGACAUCUAGAGAAGCCAGCGGAGACGCAGGUGUGCCUUCGGGAACUCUAAGACAGGUGCUGCAUGGCUGUCGUCAGCUCGUGUUGUGAAAUGUUGGGUUAAGUCCCGCAACGAGCGCAACCCUUAUCCUUGUUUGCCAGCACGUAAUGGUGGGAACUCCAGGGAGACUGCCGGUGAUAAACCGGAGGAAGGUGGGGACGACGUCAAGUCAUCAUGGCCCUUACGAGUAGGGCUACACACGUGCUACAAUGGCGCAUACAGAGGGCAGCAAGCUAGCGAUAGUGAGCGAAUCCCAAAAAGUGCGUCGUAGUCCGGAUUGGAGUCUGCAACUCGACUCCAUGAAGUCGGAAUCGCUAGUAAUCG
rnacentral:rRNA from 1 species